rnacentral:rRNA from 1 species
GAUGAACGCUCGCGGCAGGCUUAACACAUGCAAGUCGAGGGGUAUUUAUCUUCGGAUAGAGAGACCGGCGCACGGGUGCGUAACGCGUAUGCAAUCUACCUUUUACAGAGGGAUAGCCCAGAGAAAUUUGGAUUAAUACCUCAUAGUAUAUAGACUCGGCAUCGAGAUUAUAUUAAAGUCACAACGGUAAAAGAUGAGCAUGCGUCCCAUUAGCUAGUUGGUAAGGUAACGGCUUACCAAGGCUACGAUGGGUAGGGGUCCUGAGAGGGAGAUCCCCCACACUGGUACUGAGACACGGACCAGACUCCUACGGGAGGCAGCAGUGAGGAAUAUUGGACAAGGGGCGCAAGCCUGAUCCAGCCAUGCCGCGUGCAGGAUGACGGUCCUAUGGAUGGUAAACUGCUUUUAUACGAGAAGAAACACUGCUACGUGUAGCAGCUUGACGGUAUCGUAAGAAUAAGGAUCGGCUAACUCCGUG